GAGUUCAGGAAGCUCACUCACUCAAAGAAGGGGUUUGGGACCAUGUCUUAGGGUUUCUAUUGCUGUGAAGAGACACUAUGACCAAGGCAACUCUUAUAAAGGAAAAACAUUUAAUUGGGGUUGUUUACAGUUUCAGAGGUUUAGUUCAUUAUCAUCAUGGUGAGGCACGGUGGCUUGCAGGCAGACAUGGUGCUGGAGAAGGCGUUAAGAGUUGUACAUUUUGACUUACAGGCAACAGGAACUGGCCUGGGACACUGGGUGAUGUGUGGGAAAACAUAAGAAAGUCACCCCUGGACACCAGAAAGAAAGUUCUCUGGGAACCAAACUGCCAAGCUUUAUCUUGAACUUCCAGAACCAUGAGCGGUAACUGUCUAUGUUUGGCUACUCAACCUGUUGUAUUGUGUUGGGUUUUAGCCAGUUGGCUUAGGGAAUUUUGUUAUAGUAGCCUAAAGUAAGACUGUUUGAUGAGGUAAACAUAAAAGUCACAUUUGAAAAUGGG